ensembl:snRNA U6 U6 spliceosomal RNA
GUGCUUGCUUCGGCAGCACAUAUACUAAAACGAGAGCAAUCCAGAGGAGAUUAGCAAGGAUGACACGCAAAUUUGUGAAGAGUUCUCUAUUAAA